AUUGAACGCUGGCGGAAUGCUUUACACAUGCAAGUCGAACGGCAGCACGGGGGCAACCCUGGUGGCGAGUGGCGAACGGGUGAGUAAUACAUCGGAACGUGCCCGGUCGUGGGGGAUAACGUAGCGAAAGUUACGCUAAUACCGCAUACGAUCUGAGGAUGAAAGCGGGGGACCUUCGGGCCUCGCGCGAUCGGAGCGGCCGAUGUCAGAUUAGGUAGUUGGUGGGGUAAAGGCCUACCAAGCCGACGAUCUGUAGCUGGUCUGAGAGGACGACCAGCCACACUGGGACUGAGACACGGCCCAGACUCCUACGGGAGGCAGCAGUGGGGAAUUUUGGACAAUGGGCGCAAGCCUGAUCCAGCCAUUCCGCGUGCAGGACGAGGGCCUUCGGGUUGUAAACUGCUUUUGUAUGGAACGAAAAGGCUCUGGCUAAUACCUGGGGCUCAUGACGGUACCGCAAGAAUAAGCACCGGCUAACUACGUG
rnacentral:rRNA from 1 species